GGUGGCCUUCAGGAACGGGCCGAGGGGUUGCCGCGCGCCCUGCGAUGACGGCGUCCGGCUCCCGGUGUGGCUGAAGCGCGCGGCCUCAGGACGUGGCCGUUCGCAGGAGACCAAGACAACAGCCCGGCGAUGGCAGGAACUUCCCGGAUGGCGAGGCGGCCUUCCUUGGCGCUCCGUGUGGAUCCUCCCCGCUGGGCAUCCGAGAGCUGAGUCGGAGGCUGCAAAUUGCAGAGGGGCUGAAAUCGGGGUGCCGGGUCGGGACUCGUGACCUGGGAUUAUGGAGUCAGCUUUGGGGACGGGGAGGUCCAGGCUGUGGCCCCUUAGGCCACGUGAAGGGAGAGCCUCACAUUUGUUCACAGUGCUGAGGUGUGCAGGACGGAGCAGCCCCAGGGCGUGUUGUAUCACUUGUCCAUUGUGCCUUGUGUGUCUUUUGUGCUUCUUGUGUUGUACGUGCCUCGCCUUAUCUCUUCUGGGGGCUUACCAGAAACCCCGGCGUCACUCCUCGCAUCUCUGAUCUCUGGGCUCCUCAGCCCGACACCAUCGAAGCUUUGCCUCGGGAGCCCUCAGAGGUCUUGGAAUCGCGUCUCUCUUUUAAAAGCAUCCGAUCGGAUAGCUUUUAGAGGUCUUCUUCCGUGCUGUGUCAACAGCCGUGCGCCGCGAGGAUCCAUUGUUGCGGCUUAGGUCUUGAAGAAACGCAAAGAUUGGUAGGGGACUGUGGCCCUCAGAUUCUCGGGCAUCCGUCUUGGCAGUUGCUGGAGUUUGUCAUUCCAUCAGCAUCUUCUUCCUCCCGGGUUCUGCGAGCUUCAUC